ensembl:lncRNA
UGGGCCCAUAGAUGGGCAGGAUUCUGCUGACUGGAUUGAACUACACCGUAAAGCCAUGAUUAGCAGGUAGGCCAUCAUUCCAUCCAAUAUGGCUGCUUCAUUCCCUUCUGCAUGGCAGCAAAUAGAAGAGUUGACUUAAGGAAAUAAACUCAGGUGUGUCUGGACAUGUUUAAACUAGGUUCUGAUCUGGAGUCGUGCCCCACACAGGGAAGUGCCCUCUUUGUGACCAGCAAUCAAACACAGGAGAGAGAGAAGCCCAUCCAUGGCAACAAAGCCAAAAUUCAAAGAAAGAGAGGCCUUUCUCAAGGAUAAAGCAGCAGGCCACCUCUCUGGACUCAAGAGACUCCCUCUGCGAGGUCUCCUCAGGACAAGAGCUCCCUGUUCCCAGAUCUGGGCCGCAGCUGAAGGAACCAAGGAAGUCAGGUCCCUUAGCCCUUCCCUUUGAGUUAAGACACAGAAGACAAACGGCAGGACAGAAACAAGGGGCUAAUUUUCUGCCUUAGUUUGGUUUCGGGCAUUCUUUCGGCCAAGUUAUUUGUAAACGGUGCCUAGAAUUACCCUUCCUUCCUACCCACUCCCACUUCCCCCUCAACAGUAAA